rnacentral:lncRNA from 1 species
CUGUUCCGAAAAGGCGUUCUUUCCCAUCUUUUCUUUUUUCUUUUUUUUCUCUUUAGGUCUCUUUCAAUGCGGAGUUUCCUAAAGGGCAGUCUUCUACAGAAGGCUCGAGAAGGGAGGAUCCGUACCUUUUAGUCUUUAGCUUCCUUGCUCUCUUUAGUCCUAGACUUUUUCGGAGUAAGGUCUGCUUGUUACCCCUCUUUUGUUUUAUCAUCCUUUUGUUGAAUCCAAUGUCCGAUUCUUCCUUCCGUAUAUGCUUUGUAAUCCCUGGUUAAGGAGCCUUAUCAAGUGGGUGCUUCUUUCUCAUGGGCAGACGGGGCGUAAUAUAUUCGCUCCCUUGCGUUUUUGGCUGCUGAAGUUCUUUAUCCAAUACCUAGUUGUUAGCUAGUAUCGGAGUGGCCUCUUAAAGGACCAUUACUGAACUGGGCAUAACGUCUUUCCAAGAUCCCUCGCCUUUUCUGCGUCUUCCGAAGAGCUAGAGCGAAGGGGGCUAGAGCAAGUGAGAAGGUAGCUGCUAAAGGGACUAAGCCUGUCUAGAACAGUUCCUGUCUUCAACUUCUCUUCUCACCCCUUCCUCUUAUUAAGACUAUCCAAUGUUCUCUCUUCUGUUCUCUAUUUUCUAUUAGUUGGAGCUGUCUGCUUUUCCCUCCCUCUUU